rnacentral:lncRNA from 1 species
AUUUUGAAGCUUGUAAUAGGGUCUUUCUCUCCCCUGAACGAAAAGACCACCGCAUAUUCAAUACUUUCCUUUCUUGCAUUUAUCGUUUUUUAGGAAUAGUCUACAUGUAAUCUUUUUUACCCGCAUUUACUGUCUCUUUAGGAGUAGUUUUUAAGUUAGAUCUCCGGAGUCUGUAUGCCCCACCUGCACACUCUGUUGUAAUCUAGAUUUUCAGAAUCUGUAUACCCUUCGGGUACACUCUGUUUUGUAUGAGUUCCCAACUUCAUUUAAAUAUAUAAAGGCAUUCGGCUCUUUCAGCCGACCAGUCAUUGUGUACUUCUUCCAUUCAGCUUUUCUGCCGAUCUUGAUCUAUGCACAGUCCGUAUAUUCGGCUCAUCCAGCCGAACUGAUUCUAAAGUAGAGAUUUUCGAACUCGCCUAAUCCGAUUCCUCGUCAGCCGAAUCACUUGAUUCAGUCGAAGGACGCAAACUUCGAGAGUCACUAUUCACAAUGGUUCCGUAUUCCUACAUGUUUAUCGAGAAAAAUCUUUAACAAGGUCAAAGGUCAGGACAUUCGGCUCUCAACAAUAUCAUACAAUUAAUAAUAUUUCAACCACUAC